rnacentral:lncRNA from 1 species
UUGUGGUGCGCCGCAACUCCUCUCAAAACCCCUCCUCUGCCGUUCCAAUCUCCUCCCUUUUCCGACCAGAUAACGGCUAACGAGAGCGCCCAACGAAUCUCUUGACGGUAAGUCCUCCCCCUCACCCUUUUCGUGUUUUGUUUUUAAGAAAUAAAAAGAAAAGAACCAAAAUAACUUUAAAAAAAAGGCAGUAGAAGAACAGAGAAAAAUAAAACAAAAUUCUACCUUCAAAACUAUUUUUCUGUAUAUUUUCUUUUUGAUUUCAAUACCAAAAAAUUUCUAAACCCCACGUUUUACAGAUUUAAAUCAGUGUCUUUAUAGCCGAGAUGUACUAAAAUAAUCAUAAAAACUAUCUAUCCCGUUAUUUGCCACAUUUACUGUCGUUUGGAUCAGUUUUUCCGUAGGUGUAAAGGUCGUGGAGGACAUGCGCGAGUGCUGAACGUGGGGCGUGGAAGCGGUUGCUGCGGCACUGAAGCACGAAAACUACCUAGGGUUUCUGCUGUUGAGAAUUGUUAGGGCU